rnacentral:tRNA from 1 species
GUUUAUAUAGUUUAAUAAAAAUAUUGAUCUUGUAAAUCAAAGCUAAGAACUAUCUUUUUAAACA